CCUACGGGUGGCAGCAGUAGGGAAUUUUCGGCAAUGGGGGGAACCCUGACCGAGCAACGCCGCGUGCACGAAGAAGUUAUUCGUAAUGUAAAGUUCUUUUAACAGGGAAGAAAGAGAAAUUUGACGGUACCUGAAGAAUAAGCUCCGGCAAACUACGUGCCCGCAGCCGCGGUCAUACGUAGGGAUCAAGCGUUAUCCGGAAUUGUUGGGCGUAAAGGGUGCGUAGAUGGCAUAGAAAGUCUUUUGUAAAAAUGCUGGGCUAAACCCAGUAGGGCAAAGGAUACUGCAAAGCUAGAGUAUGACAGAGGCAAGUGGAACGAAAUGUGUAGCGGUAAAAUGCGUAAAGAUAUGUAAGAACACCAGUGGCGAAGGCGGCUUGCUGGGUCGAUACUGACAUUGAGGCACGAAAGCGUGGGGAGCAAACAGGAUUAGAUACCCCAGUAGUC
rnacentral:rRNA from 1 species